UACGUAGGGUGCAGGCGUUAAUCGGAAUUACUGGGCGUAAAGCGUGCGCAGGCGGUUUCUUAAGUCAGAUGUGAAAGCCCCGGGCUUAACCUGGGAACUGCGUUUGAAACUGGGAGACUUGAGUGUGGCAGAGGGAGGUGGAAUUCCACGUGUAGCAGUGAAAUGCGUAGAGAUGUGGAGGAACACCGAUGGCGAAGGCAGCCUCCUGGGCCAGCACUGACGCUCAUGCACGAAAGCGUGGGGAGCAAACAGG
rnacentral:rRNA from 1 species